rnacentral:rRNA from 1 species
UUCCGUAGGGUGAACCUGCGGGAUGGAUCAUUUCGAUGAAAAACCUUUUUUUUCUUGAGGUUGUGGCUCGCACCUGUCCAACUAAACUUGAGCUACCUUUUUCUAACACGGUUGCAUCGGUGGAGUGCCUGUCAUGAAAAUAAUACUAUUUUGUGGCUCGGCCUCUACACUUUACACUCAAACACUUUGGAUCUUCUAGGAUUGGAAAGAUAAUUUUAUGACUGGUCAUUCGGUCGUUUAAAUUUAAAAAACAACUUUUGGCAACGGAUCUCUUGGUUCUCCCAUCGAUGAAGAACGCAGCGAAUUGCGAUAAGUAAUGUGAAUUGCAGAAGUGAAUCAUCGAAUCUUUGAACGCACCUUGCGCUCCCUGCAGAUCUAAUCUGGGGAGCAUGCCUGUUUGAGGGCCGCGAAUUGUUUCGAACCGAUCCUUUUUUUUAAGUAAGAAAGGGUUGGAUCGGUAUUGAGGGUUUUUGUUGCCAUUCACCGUGGCUCCCUCGAAAUACAUUAGCGCAUCCAUUUGAUAGGCAAGAACGGACGAAAGCUCCUUGUUUUCGCCCUCUCUUUCUUCCCUGCCGGGUUUUGAUAACAUCAGGACUUCGGAGGCGAAGAAAGGGCAGGUUCUUGCUGUUUGGCGUGCUUCUGAACCCCACCCAGGCCCCUCUUCUUCGAGGGGAAAGGGAUUUAAAUAAUUCAAUC